ACCCGCUGAACUUAAGCAUAUCAAUAAGCGGAGGAAAAGAAACCAACAGGGAUUGCCCUAGUAACGGCGAGUGAAGCGGCAACAGCUCAAAUUUGAAAUCUGGCUCUUUCAGAGUCCGAGUUGUAAUUUGCAGAGGGCGCUUUGGCUUUGGCAGCGGUCCAAGUUCCUUGGAACAGGACGUCACAGAGGGUGAGAAUCCCGUACGUGGUCGCUAGCUAUUGCCGUGUAAAGCCCCUUCGACGAGUCGAGUUGUUUGGGAAUGCAGCUCUAAAUGGGAGGUAAAUUUCUUCUAAAGCUAAAUACUGGCCAGAGACCGAUAGCGCACAAGUAGAGUGAUCGAAAGAUGAAAAGCACUUUGGAAAGAGAGUCAAACAGCACGUGAAAUUGUUGAAAGGGAAGCGCUUGCAGCCAGACUUGCUUGCAGUUGCUCAUCCGGGCUUUUGCCCGGUGCACUCUUCUGCAGGCAGGCCAGCAUCAGUUUGGGCGGUGGGAUAAAGGUCUCUGUCACGUACCUCUCUUCGGGGAGGCCUUAUAGGGGAGGCGACAUACCACCAGCCUGGACUGAGGUCCGCGCAUCUGCUAGGAUGCUGGCGUAAUGGCUGU
rnacentral:rRNA from 1 species